ACAUUCCCUUUUUGAAAGAAUUCUGAGAAAAUGGUAGUGUGUACUGUAGUGCCAGAAAUGCUCAGUGGCAGACUUUCCUAUAUAAAACAUGCUGCAUGCUGCGUACUUCUACAGGUGUUGCCAUGGGUACAAGUACUAUUAGUAGCUGCGAUUUGAGAGAAUAUGUAAACAUCAGCCUGAUCUGGUGAAAAUGACAUGACUGUGGCGACAUUUUUGCAAAAUCAUAUUACAUGGUUGCACGUAUCGCGCCACUUCUGAGGUGAAAUGUCCACUGUGUGAAACCAAAAGUAAAUUACAUUUUCUCCCAAACAGAUGAGACUAAGGUUAAUGCUCUGUUGAGUUUUAAAUCAACAAAACCUACCUCCCUACCCUAAACCUUAACCCUAAACCUAACUGAUAGUGUCAUAAAAAGCAAAUGUGACAUGAAACACACAAUUGCUAAACUAAGCAACCAUGUCAUUUUGUGGUGCUUCUAUGACACUUUCGGCUCACGUGACAUCUCUUCGGGACUUGUACGUUGGAAGUGCAACGCGCUAAAAGUUGCGCUACCAUACAACUUGAUCAUGCCUGAACAAGCUUGUAAAUGUAGUUUGUUGUUUAAUGCAAACAUUUAAAGUCAUACACUAAAGUAAAUGGGUUUUAAUGUCCUAAGAUAGCAUUGUGUGAGGAACAGGGCGAAAUGUAAGUGUUUAUGGCUUAUGGCUAGUUUAUGACUGAUAAUUUGCCAUUUUACUCCUGAUUUGUGUGAUAGGAAAUAAAAUUCAUUGUUGUUGUAGCGCCUCUAGUGUCAUUUCACCAGGAAACUGCCAACCCGAUCUCAUGAAAAGUCGUACAUGAUUUACGAUUUGAUUUAUUUCAUAUGGUCUCGCACGAUGUUGUUCGCAUAAACUCGUACGACUUCAUCACAUGCAAAUUCCCAGAUGUCUAAUGCGAAGUAAGCGCAAGUUCCACGCACAAGGCGUUAAGGACAUACUUAUUAAUAUUAUGCCCUAACCACUUAUCUAAACUUAACCAAUCAGUAGAGUGUGUAAACAUGAUAGGAAGCUGUUGUGUGUGACAGAAGCAAGUAAUUGUCGGAUAUUAGAUGGAAAUGUCCAGCGACGUCAUUGGCUGUAGUGAAAGUCAUAGGAAUUCAAACAAGUGCAGUCACACAAUAUCAUAGGAAUUAGCCAAAUUUAGAAAAGGCGUACGAAUCCUGACGAUUUCACCGUGAGAGUGUGUAGAAACUGCAGCGAUACUUAGAAUGAGCAACAUUAUUUUCAAUUUGCAAAAAUGUAGGUAUGAUUCUAUAAGACCAGAUUGGUAAAUAUUGUUAUUUAAAGGGAUAGUUUGCACAAAUAUAAAUAUAUAUAUUGUCAUCAUUUAUUCACCCUCAUUUUGUUCAUCCAGUCACCAUUCACUUUUACUGCAUUGUUUUUCUCCAUACAAUGAAAGUGAAUGGUGACUGAGGCUAAAAUUAAGAACACAAUGACAUAUUGUAUAAAGAGGACAGUCAUAUAGAAUUGUGUAAGUUUAAAAGAUAAUGACCCAUGGUGGUUUGGAGGUAACAUCAAACCCUGAUUGCAUAAAAAUGGCCUGUAAUGAUGGACAUCAUCAGAGGGAUAAAAGAAGAAUUUUAAAGUUUAAACAAAUAAGUUGAAGUCAUCACAUUAAAACUCUGCAUUAAAAGGGAAAUUAGUGUACUGUGGGGAGAAACACUCACCAAGCUAAAACUGUGAAAACUGCCCUGAGGGGGGGAGGGGAGACGAUCCGUCUAGGUCAUUUCUGUCACAGUGCUUUACAUCGCAGAGAAAGACUCUACUGUUUUCUGUGUCCCCAGCAUGGCAGGCGGACAAACCCAGAGCUUUUGUGUUAAAGCAGUUGCUGUGAUACGCUGGCAUGCAUCGUCCACAGAGGAACAGUGAGGGUCUGUCGAGCCAGUAAUUUAGCAUUUCGAUUUCAAAUCUGCAUGUCACUGUAAGAUCUCGCACUAUGCAAAUCAGUUGUGCUCAUAACAAAUGAUGUGCCCUCGCAGUAGCACAACAGUGUGGGGAUGGCUGACAGACGUGCUUGAUAAUCAGUAAGCAGGGUCUUGAAGUGUGUUGUGGCAGAUUUAUGAUCCAUACAGAGUUUUGUUUUUAGCUUCAGUGUGUGGAGUGUAUCACUAUAUGGCUGCAGGUUUAUUUAUGUGCUUAUGUAUGCUUAUAGCCACAACAUGUCACUUUUCUUUUUUUUUUUCCUCAGUUUGGAAUGCCCAAUUCCCAAUGCGCUCUAAGUCCUCGUGGUGGCGUAAUGACUCGCCUCAAUCCGUGUGGAGGAGGACGAAUCUCAGUUACCUCCACAUCUGAGACCGUCAAUCUGCGCAUUUUAUCACGUGGCUUUGUUGAGCACGUUACCGUGAAGACAUAAUGCGUGUGGAGGCUCACGCUAUUCUCCGCGGCAUCCACAACUCACCACGCGACCCACCGAGAGUUAGACAAGUACUGACACUGGAACCACUGAAACCAUCUGUGUCCCUGGCAUGUAUGCUCAUAGCCACAAGAUGUCACUUUUCUUUUUUUUUUCUUUUCUUUAUUUUCUCCCCAAUUUGGAAUGCCCAAUUCCCAAUGCGCUCUAAGUCCUCGUGGUGGCGUAGUGACUCGCCUCAAUCCGGGUGAUGGAGGACGAAUCUCAGUUGCCUCCACGUCUGAGAUCUUAUCAUGUGGCUUUGUUGAGCACGUUACCGUGAAGACAUAACGCGUGUGGAGGCUCACGCUAUUCUCCGCGGCAUCCACGCACAACACACCAAGCGCCCCACCGAGAGCGAGAACCACAUUAUAGCGACCACAAGGAGGUUAACCCAAUGUGACUCUACCCACCCUAGCAACUGGGCCAAUUGGUUGCUUAGGAAGCCUGACUUGAGUCACUCAGCACGCCCUGGAUUCAAACUUGCGACUCCAGGUGUGGUAGUCAGCGUCAUUACUUGUUGAGCUACCCAGGCCCCAGAUGUCACUUUUCUUGAGAUAUAUGCCAUGUUUGGGUGAAGUUAUAGCAUACAAAGCUAAUAUAUUUUUAAAUGUUCAUUUUAUGAAUCUGUACCAGUAGACAGUGCACCUGCUGUGGUUGUUUUCCCCUAUGUAAACAAGUAUUGGCAAGUUGCUUGGAAAAGUUUCAGAGUCAAUUGUGGGAAUUUGUCUUUGUGGGAAUUGGCUUGGGGCUGCGUUGACUAACAUUUAAGUUGAAAUUAUUCACACAGGUUUGUCCUCUUAACUGAAACUAAAUGUUCAUUUAGAUGGAUAUUCCAAGAAUGACAUAAUUUUGUGGUUUGUAUUGGCUACAUAUUGCAUUUUGGCAAAAUAUUUCAGGGGAGCGGUUAGAAUACACGCCUAAUUUUAAAUGAAUCAACAAUCAACUUUUGGCAAGUAAAAGGUAGACAGGUAAACAUUGUCUUCUGUAUCUAUGAAUGAGGAAAUGUACAGUAUUCAGUGCAAAUAAGGUGCUAAAUUUUGCUUUGUUGUUUUAUAGUUUCAAGUGCAGAUAAAUCCACCCAUCUCUUCUCAAAAGCUGUCAAUUUUUUUCAUCAGGUUUGAAAGGCACCAUUGAUAAAAGUUUACUGAGAUGAAAGUUUUUGUUUACUGAGAUAAUAUUGCUAAUAAUGCUUAUUAGGACUUUUAUUUUGAAGGUCUCACUGUCUGAGAGUAAUUACUGAAUGCAAGUAAAUGUGGACCAGUAUGAAAUUGUGUCAUUAUAUAAUUUGCAUAAUUGAAGGUUUUCCUACUAUACUGUAGUUAAAGGUUGAUGCAAAAUGCCUCAAAGAUGAAUCACUUAAUCCUAUAAACCACCCAAAAACACCCUAGUGACUGCAUAGCAACCACUUAGAAACCAUCUAGUGAGACCAUCGCAACCACCUAGAACACCUUAGCAAAAAUCUAGCAAUUCCCUAGCAACCAACCAGAACACCUUAGCAACCACAUUGCAAUGCCCUAACAACCACCCAGAACACCUUAAAAAUCACUUAGCAAUAUGCUAACAACCACUCAGAGCACCUUAGCAACCCUAUCGUGACGGUGAUUUUUGCAUCGGCUCAUAGUUUUGCACUCAUAUUCUGAAAAAAUAACUAAAAACAAAUCUAGUUUCUUUUUUUGUUGUUGCCCCUUUUCUCCCUAAUUUGGAAUGCCUAAUUCCCAGUGUGCUUUUAGGUCCUCGUGGUCGCGUAGUGAUUCGCCUCAAUCCGGGUGGCGGAGGACGAAUCCCAGUUGCCUCCACGUCUGAGACCGCCAACCCGCGCAUCUUAUCACGUGGCUUGUUGAGCGCGUUGCCACGGAGACAUAGUGCGUGUGGAGGCUUCACAGCACCUCUCUCUACCCUCUACCCUCCCUAGCAACCAGGCCAAUUUGGUUGCUUAGGAAGCCUGGCUGGAGUCACUCAGCAUGCCCUGGGAUUCAAACUAGCGAACUCCAGGGGUGGUAGCCAGCGUAUUUUACCACUGAGCUACCCAGGCCCCACAAAAAUCUAGUUUAAUUAAAGGGAUAGUUCACCCAGAAAUUAAUAUUCUCUCACCAUUUACUCACCCUCAUGACAUCCCAGAUGUGUAUGACUUUCUCUUUUCUGCAGAACACAAAGAUUUUGAGAAGCUCUGUAGAACUAUAUAAAAGUCUAUAAAAUAAAUGGUGACCAGACCUUUGAAGCUCCAAAAAUCAUAAAAAUAAAAUCAUCUAUAAGUGGUUAAUCUAUAUCUUCUGAAGCGAUACAAUAGGUGUGGGUAAGAAACAGAUAAACAUUUAAGUCAUUUUUGACUAUAAAUCUCCCCUUUUACAUUUAAAAGUGACAUUAAAAAAGGACUUAAAUAAUGAUUUGUUUCUCAUCCACACCUAUCAUAUCACUUCUGAAGAUAUGGAUUUAACCACUGGUGUUGUAUGGAUUACUUUUAUGUGGCCUUAAUGUGAUUUUUGGAGCUAUAAAGGUCUGAUCACCAUUCACUUGAUUGUAUGGACCUACAGAGCCGAUUUAUUCUUCUAAAACUCUUUGUUUUUGUUCUGCAGAAGAAAGACAGACAUAUACAUCUGGGAUGGCAUAAGGGUGAUUAAAUGAUGAGAAUUUUCAUUUUGGGGUGAACUAUCCCUUUAAACAAAAGCAGGGUAUAUCAAACCAGAGAUUUGUGUAGUUCCCAUCUUGACAAUGAGUUUAGUAGUAUUUUGGCUCCUAGCAUAUCUGUUUUGAUUACAGUCAAGAUUCCUUAAGAGUGUCUCCCAUGGCCCUUUAAAAUCCUCAAGUCUUAUGCAAAUGAGAAAAUGUGAUUACCACCCAGGCAGUGAUGAAAGGAGAAAGCCACUGCUUUGCAUUAAUGCGUGGCUGUUUUGUAUCGUGAAGUCCACUGGAGUUAAUUUAUGCUCAUUCUUAUUCAACCUUAGUUUGUCAUCUUGUUUUGGUUGUCCUCUCUCUCAGCAACAAUGAUGAAUCAUAGUUGUGACUGGUCAUUUAAAAUAAGGUGUCUGAAUGUCUGCACAGAAUCCUCUUUGCUGUGUGAAAACACCAUGUCAUUGCAUUCAGUUUCUGUCUGAAGCAGGGAUGGAUUUCCGACCGGGCCAAUGGGGCCAGUGCCCAGGGGCCCUUGACUACCAGGAGCCCGGGGGGGGGGGGGGGGGUGUUGGGUUUGAAAGUUGCGCAAUCCAGUUUGGUACAGAAAACCCAUCAACAAUGAAAACAAAUGUUUAUUUAUGCUUGAAUAUAUGGCUAUGGUUGAUAAUCUUGGGCUUGACCUAUCCAAUUGUAGGGGGCAGUUAUACGACAAUGCAAGAAACAUGUCGGGAAAGUAUAAAAGGGUCCAGGCACACCUUAAACGGAGAAAUCCCUUAAUCCAUUUUGUGCCAUGUGCAGCGCAUUCAUUAAAUUUGGCUGGCACCAAUGCUGUUGAUAGUUGCAAAGUAGCUGGUAGUUUUUUUAAUUUAGUUCAGUCAAUUUAUUCUUUUUGCGCAUCAUCCGCACACCGCUGGGGAAAGGUCUUCCAUGAUACUAACAUCAAGAUAACAUUAAAUCACUGUCGGAUACUCGGUGGAGUGCACGAGCAGAGUCCUGUAAGGCACUUUGGAAACAGUAUGCACAGGUCAGAGAGGCCUUGGGUAAAAUAUACAAGGACAUGCACAAGAAACGAGAAACUCGCAGCGAAGCUUCUGCGCUGUGCACCAAGCUGGACACAUUAGAGAUGGCCUUCAUGGCGCAUUUUUGGAACAUGGUUCUAGAGAAGUUCCAGGCCACAAGCCAGCAAUUACAGAGGCACGACAUAGACAUAUUUACGGCAACUCGUCUCAUUUAGAUGGCUUUGAAGCAUUUGAAAGAGCAGCCAUGAAUGUGUCUGGCAUUUCUUAGUGUUACAAGCGUGUCAUCCAGCGUGCAGAAAAGCGCAAAACGUUGGCAGACGUUUUCACAGAACCAGAUGUGCUGCAUGAUGGAAGGGAUCAAUUUCGAGUAGAGACAUUCAAUGUCAUCAUUGACAAACUCACAUUCUGUCUUCAACAUCGUUUGGAGGCUUACAAACACCUGACCAAAUUGUUUGGUGUUCUUUUCAUGCCCGAAAACUUUGACAUUACGGCAAACGCCGACUUGCUCUCAGCCUCGUACCCGCUGGAUUUGGAUAAGAGCCUAGCAGACGAACUGACCCAUUUCAGAUAAUUUAUGCAAGAUGAACAAAACAUUCCCCUCAACAUGCUCCAAACAAUGAUUAAUCUGAAUUUACAAUCAACUUUUCCCAACGUGUACAUUGCGUUAAGACUUUUUCUGACGCUGCCAGUUACGAACUGCACUCAUUUUCCAAAAUGUCUAGAGUUAAAAACUAACUGAGAAUGAGAAUGUGCCAAGAACAUCUCAACUCUAUCGCUUAUGGCCACUGAGUCCGAACUCUUAAAAGAGCUCAGUUUCGAUGAAGUGGUGGAUGACUUCGCGAGGAGGAAGACAAGAAAGUAACUCCUGUAAGAAAUUGUUUUGGUAACCAUAUGCUGGAUUGUAUAAUUUUCAGGGCCUGCAAAAAUUGUGUUUGUAAUUGUGUGUUUUCUUAAAUUGCAUUUUCUUGCUUGAUGAUCUGAUGUUUACAGGCAUGUGAUGUGUGUCACAGGGUAGUUUUAUGGUGACAAAUAAUUUUUUGAUUCAUGUGAUGCAUUAAAUACGUGUAUAUUUGACAGUUAAUUCAUUAAAGACGUGUGUUUCUUAUGCCUUAAUUUGCCGCAUUGUUGAUUAUUCAUUGUGUAGCUAUUAAUAGACUUGUAGAGAGAAAAAUGAUAUCAGAAAAAUGUAUUAGUCCUAUACCUUGAUUCUGUAAACCAUGUGAUAAUUAGAAUACAAUGCAUACAGUAUAUAAUUAUUAAUAAUUGUAUUUAUUUAUCACACAUUAUACAUUUGCACAUAUACAGUGAAAUUCUUUUUUCACAUAUCCCAGCUAAGCUGGGGUCAGAGUGCAGGGUCAGCCAUGAUACGGUGCCCCUGGAGCAGAUAGGGUCAAGGGCCUUGCUCAAGGGCCCAACAGUGGCAUCUUGGUGGUGCUGGGGCUUGAACCCCUGACCUUCUGAUCAGUAACCCAGAGCCUUAACUGCUGAGCCACCACUGCCCCUCUAUAGCAAGCAAUAAACCACAAGUGGCCAUGCGCCACAAAGAUUUUACCUGGUAGAGGUGUUCUUAGGCACAACAAGAAGCAUUUAUAAAAUGCAUGCUAUGCUGCUUGGUUGUUUACAGUUGCCAAGCAACAUAGCAACUUUACAUUAAUUUUGUUUGUGCGGUCACAAGUGUGCAUCAUUUUACAAUAACUUAGUUUAAUAAUUUAUCCAUUACAUAAAUCCUUAAAUUAUAAAGGAUUUGAAAGAGACUAGUGUGAAAAAGUCCAAAACAAACUGCAGGGCAAUAAAUUCACAGAUAAGCUAUUACAUGAACAUUUUGGGAGAUCAUUCCCAGCACAGAGACAAAAUACUCUGGAACACACCAGAGCUGUACUCUCCUGUCCUCUCCUCCCACAUGAGCCCAAUUGUUUAUCUAGUUCCUGUCAGACAAGUUUCUGCUGUUUACUUGAUCAGAGGGGCUCUAUCAGUUUCAUAUUACUUAUAUUUGUUCGUAGUAGUUUGCUUGCUUGAAAUACAAGCAUAUGAAAGAGCACCAUGAUUAAUGAAUUAUUUGUAUUAAACAUUUGUUUACAUUGUGUUAUGCAGUCCAGUAUACAGUUUACAUGAACUGGGUGGGAAAAAAUAAUCCGAUGAAAAACACUGGGACUGUCGUAACAACCUCUCUGCCAAAAGAAGCCCCUAUUCUGUUCUGCUUGUCCAGUUUGCCGAA